AUUCUUUUAGUAUUUAUUAGUACUGCUGACUUCCAAUCAGCCAGACCCAGUAAUAAGCCUGGGAAAGAAUA
rnacentral:tRNA from 1 species